rnacentral:rRNA from 1 species
AAAGGAAUAGACGGGGGCCCGCACAAGCGGUGGAGCAUGUGGUUUAAUUCGAAGCAACGCGAAGAACCUUACCAGGUCUUGACAUCCUUUGACCGCUCUGGAGACAGAGUCUUCCCUUCGGGGACAAAGUGACAGGUGGUGCAUGGUUGUCGUCAGCUCGUGUCGUGAGAUGUUGGGUUAAGUCCCGCAACGAGCGCAACCCUUAUUGUUAGUUGCCAUCAUUCAGUUGGGCACUCUAGCGAGACUGCCGGUGACAAACCGGAGGAAGGUGGGGAUGACGUCAAAUCAUCAUGCCCCUUAUGACCUGGGCUACACACGUGCUACAAUGGACAGUACAAUGAGUUGCGAGACCGCGAGGUUUAGCUAAUCUCUUAAAGCUGUUCUCAGUUCGGAUUGCAGGCUGCAACUCGCCUGCAUGAAGUCGGAAUCGCUAGUAAUCGUGGAUCAGCACGCCACGGUGAAUACGUUCCCGGGCCUUGUACACACCGCCCGU